AUUGAACGCUGGCGGAAUGCUUUACACAUGCAAGUCGAGCGGCAGCGCGGCCUUCGGGCUGGCGGCGAGCGGCGAACGGGUGAGUAAUGCAUCGGAACAUGCCCAGUCGUGGGGGAUAACACUUCGAAAGAAGUGCUAAUACCGCAUACGUCCUGAGGGGGAAAGCGGGGGAUCGCAAGACCUCGCGCGAUUGGAGUGGCCGAUGUCAGAUUAGCUAGUUGGUGGGGUAAAGGCCUACCAAGGCGACGAUCUGUAGCUGGGCUGAGAGGAUGAUCAGCCACACUGGAACUGAGACACGGCCCAGACUCCUACGGGAGGCAGCAGUGGGGAAUUUUGGGCAAUGGGGGCAAGCCUGAUCCAGCCAUGCCGCGUGAGUGAAGAAGGCCUUCGGGUUGUAAAGCUCUUUCGGCAGGAACGAAACGGUGGGCUCUAACAUAGUCCGCUAAUGACGGUACCUGAAGAAGAAGCACCGGCUAACUACGUG
rnacentral:rRNA from 1 species